rnacentral:lncRNA from 1 species
AUGGCCUCUGGACUGGAGGCGGCGGCAACAGCCUCUGGAUUGGAGGCAUUGACCACUGGAAUGGAGGCGUCGACGACGACCACUGGACUGGAGGCAUCGGCGACAACCAAUGGACUGGAGGCGUCGGUGUCGACCACUGGACUGGAGUCGGCGGCACCGCCCACUGGACUGGAGGCGACGGCGUCGACCACUGGACUGGAGGUGUCGCGACGACCACUGGACUGGAGGUGUUGCGACGACCACUGGACUGGAGGCGUCGGCAUUGAUCACUGGACUGGAGGCGUCGGUGUCGACCACUGGACUGGAGGCGGCGGCGUCGCCCACUGGACAGGAGGCGGCGGCGUCGACCACUGGACUGGGGGUGGCGGCGUCGACCACUGGACUGGAGGCGACGGCGUCGACCACUGGACUGGGGACGGCAUCUACCACUGGACUGGGGAUGGCGUCGACCACUGGACUGGAGGAGGAGACGUCGACCACUGGACUGGAGGGGGAGACAUCGACCGCUGGACUGGAGGGGGAGACGUCGACCACUGGACUGGAGGGGGAGACGUCGGACUGGAGGGGACGUCGACCUCUGGACUGGAGGGGUCGUCAACCUCUGGACUGGAGGAGGCGUCGACCUCUGGAGUGGAGGAAGCGUCGAACUCUGGAGUGGGGGAGGCAUCGACCUCUGGAGUGGAGGAGGCGUCGGCCUCUGGAGUGGAGGAGGCGUCGACCUCUGGAGUGGAGGAGGCGUCGACCUCUGGAGUGGAGGAGGCGUCGACCUCUGGAGUGGAGGAGGCGUCGACCUCUGGAGUGGAGGCGUCGACUUCAGAACACGAGGAGGUGUUGACUUCAGAACACGAGGAGGCGUCGACUUCAGAACAUGAGGAGGCGUCGACUUCAGAACAGGAGGAGGCGUCGACGUCAGGACUGGAAGAGGCAUCGACCACAGGACUGGAAGAGGCGUUGACCACAGGACUGGAAGAGGCGUCGACCACAGGACUGGAAGAGGCGUCGACUACUGGGCUGGUGGCGUCGACCUCUGUCGACUUCUGGUCUGGAGGUUCGACUUCUGGUCCGGAGGCAUUGACUUCUGGUCCGCCGACUUCUGGACCGCCGACUUCUGGACUAUCAACUUCUGGAGUGGUGGGGCGGGACCGGGUGCUGACUGAACUGGUGGUGCCGGUAACUUGGAAAGCAGGGAGGAUAGACUGUCCAGCUGGAACUCCUGGAGACUGA